GGCCCUGUAGUCUAGUGGUUAGGACAGCAGAUUUUGAGACUACGCAAUAAAACGCGCUUAUACAAUCUUCUGUUAACCUGGGUUCGAAUCCCAGCAGGACCU